rnacentral:lncRNA from 1 species
UGAUUCAUAUGUUACAUCAAUUCAUAAAAUAGAAUUCUUCUCUUCCAAAAAUUAAAUUAUUCUUUAGUGAAUCAUUGUUGGCAACCAUUAUUAAGUUAUAAUUGUCUUAUGCACAUAAUACCAAAAGAUAAAUUGUUACCUCAACCAAAAUAUAUCACACAAUCUACUUAAAUCCAAGACCGUUUCAGACUCCAGGGAAGAGUUUGGAAGGUUGAGCAAGCAUGGGUAGUGGAGGUGAACAACGGCAGAAACAGUGACGAAAGAAGAGAGCGGGGAUAAGA